rnacentral:hammerhead_ribozyme from 1 species
GCACUGCUGACGGAUCCCAAACAGGACGAAACAGCUGUCCAGUGC